AUGACGCGCAGAAGAGUCCUUGUCGCACCCCAGGCGGGAGUGAUGCAGGCGAAAAACACACCUGAUUCCUUUGGGUCUCCAUGGCAGCAGGGCCAGAUAAUGACGCUCCAUCAGCAGGAAGAGGCUGAUCCUGUGACAGAGGGUGUUUUCAAGGUCAUAUCGCCUAGGAGCCUCUGCCUGGAUGGAAGACGAAUCCGGUAUCUAAGCUUCUCCCUUAAAGCUGUCAGUGAAGCCACUGCCAACUGGAGUGCUUCCGAGUUCCUCCUAAACUCCUGCAUAUGUGUAGUUAAGUCACUUGAAAAGAAAAUAUAAAUGGUCCAAACUCAUCAGUCCACUGUAACUGUACAUGGAGUAUUCAGUUUGCCAUUAAAUUAUGAUUAUCUUGAUUGUUCCCUAAUGUCUUUUUUCUGUCCCAGGUGUGAUUGCUGUUUAUCUUGAAUCUCGCCAGAUAGUAUGGCAAGAACUGUAAAACCCCACACCCAAAAGGCUGAAAGGACCUAAAGCCCAGUUAGAGAAAGAAUUUGAAUAUUAGUUGAUUAACAAACAUACAGGUCCAGAGAGGGGUUGGGUCAUGCAACGCCCCCCUACAUACACACAAACAAACUAUGAGCCCACAGUAUUCCAAGGACACGUUAAAACUUAAAUGACAUAUAGGAACUUGAUACAGUUCAUUCUUAAAGCCAAGGAAAUAAGGUCAUGCAUAACUAAAGACCAACAGCAAGAUAUUGCCUAAACCAUCCUUCAUUUAAACCACCUUGAGCAGGUUCUCUUGCAAGUGGAAGAGAAAGCAGAGAAAGAGAGAGAGGAACCACCAUUGCAAUGAUUUCCAAACAGGUAGAAUCAAAAGGUUGAAAUUUUCAACCAAGAGUUUUAUGUCAUUACAACAGGAGCCUCUCUUAUCUAGGACGGGAUUCCUACCGCGUGGCUGCAGUGUGAUAAAGAAGAAUCAGCUAUCAGUUUCUCACAUUAUCAUACUUCACACAUAGGCACAGUUGUCAUAACCAAUGAACCAAUAUAGAUACACUGUUUUCUUGAUUGUCCCCUAAUGUCUUUUUUCUGUCCCAGGACCCCAUCCAGGAUCCCACAUGACAUUUUGUUGUCUAAUAUCAUUUUAGGCUCCUCUUGGCUGUGACAGUUUCUUAGACUUUCCUUGUUUUUAACGACCUUGACAGUUUCGAGGACUACUGGUCAGAUCUGUGCUAGAAUAUCCCUCACCUGGGGUUUGUCUGAGGUUUCUCCUGUGAUUAGACUAUUGAUGCAUUUCUGCGAGCAAAGGUACACUAGUCAAGUCCACUGUCCCGUUGUCUCUAGGCUGCACACGCUGUGCCUCAACUUCCCACUGGGAGGGGGUUCUUUUUCUUUUCACGUCUAGGGGAAAUCCCUUUUGUCAGAGCAGGGGUUCUCAAAGGGUGCUCUCCAGAUCAGCCGAAUGUGGCAAAUUCUUAGCCCCAUCGCAGACUUCCUGACUCAGAAACUGUGGGGGCGGGCCUAGCCCGCUGUGUUUCUACAAGUCAUCCAGGUGACUCUGAUGCACCUGAAGUUUGAGAACCACUGUGUCAGAGGCUGCCUGACACUUCGAGCUCCAUAGACAAGAGGACACUUCUCACUGCUCAUCUAUGGAGCCCAUGGCUCUCAACCCUGCUAUUUCAUGAAUAGCUAGCACCACACACCAUCCUCAGAGACUCCGAUGUAAAAAAAAAAAAAAAAGCUCCAAGGUGAUUGCAAGCUCAUGCAGGGUUCAGGGCUGCUGGCGCCUGGCCCCUCACCGAGAGCAGCAGCCCCCACGUCCACUCACAUUUUCCAUCCCCUUCACACACUCCUUCUUUGCCCCCCUUAGACUUCGGAAGAAUGGAUCAAUCAGUAGCCUGAUUUCUUAGAAAACAUCAAACAGGAUUAAAUACCGUAGAAUUUCAGGGUUGGUAAUAGUUAUAAAGGUCAACUAGUUACGUGGUUUUAAAACUUUUUCUUUGAGCAGAUCUCUUUCUUCGGAGGAAGUUUUAUGGGGAAACCCAAUAUAGAAAAAGAGAGAAAGCUGAGCUGCUCUGAAUGCAAGAUGAGAGGGGCUUGAGGAUGCUUCUGGUCCUCCUGGCACACGUGGGUCCUCACUGGCCAAGUUCAACUUUCCCAGGCAAUGGCUGCCCACCCUCUCCUUGAUCACCUCUAGUGAUCAGGCCUUCUUUACCACAAAGCCACUUCCAUUUUCAGUACAGCUCAAAGCUUUCAAAUAUUCUUCUUGCUUUGAGCCCAAAUAUGCCUUCCUAUCACCUACUUCUCAUCGCUAGUGCUAGUUCUUCUCUUGGUGCUAAAGAGAGGAGACCUGGUUCCUUUUCCAUUUGGAGACUUUUCUCUUUUCCUAAUCUGGCCCACUGCCCCCUAAAUAGUGGUUCCCAGCUUAACUGUGCUUUAGCGUCAUCUGAGGAGCUUUUAAGACGCCUGGUGUCCAGAUUGCAUUCCAGAUCAAUAAUUCGGUAUCUCUCUAGGUGGAACCAGAUGGAAGGACUUUUUAAAGUGUCCCAGGUAGAUAGGAUGUGCAGCCCUGGCUGAGACUGCAAGUCUGUGCCAGCCUCCCCUGCCCAGGCAAAUGUGGUCACCCCUCCUACCUGAUCCUUAGUUGAUGCAUUUUGAAGCUUCUCACCACCUUCUCUGCUUUCUUUUGUCCAAAUUCAAACAUAACUCAUCAUAGCACAAUGAUUGGUACCAACUGUUUUUGUAGACUGACUGUAAAAACUCCAAGUGCCCGUUUGAUAUAAUAUCAAAUGCUUCCUUGUGAAGGUACUUAAAGUAAUAGGUGUCUGCUGCUUCAUAGCUCAACCAUUUAAAUCCUAGCCAUCUGUUUCCCCUUCGCCUGAACAGGAAAGAUCAGAUAAGUUCUCCUACGUUUCUCUAAGUAGAGUUGGCUUUGGUGAAAGGGAGCAGCUUUCACAGUUAGUAUAUUUGCCCUGCCUUGGUUUUAGGAGAGGUAGAUGGUGUGAUAGGUUUUGAUGAAUGACCCUAACAAGCCCGCCCAAAUGGCCUGGUUCUUUGUUUGGUAAGGAUUCCCCUCUCAUCUUCUACCCCUAUACCUAUUAGCAAAUAAUUGAGCCGUGCAAAACACAUAGGUUGUCAAGUUCAUCAGCCUCCAGGUGGCCCCUCCUGGGUCCUCUUAACCCCUAUUUUGAAUAAAGUUAAGAGCAUAGAGACCA
rnacentral:lncRNA from 1 species